AACCCGUGGUUUGGACAUCGCUUAAGGCACACUUUAAACCUUUCCCACGCAUCAUACAAGGUCUCACCGUCGGCUUGUUCAAAGUUACUUAUUUCUGCUCUU